ACGCUGGCGGCGUGCUUAAUACAUGCAAGUCGAACGAGAACCUUUUGCUUUAACUUCGGUUGAUGCAGUUGGGGAAAGUGGCGAACGGGUGAGUAACACGUGGGCAAUCUGCCCUCAAAUCUGGGAUAAUCCUUCGAAAGGGGGCCUAAUACCGGAUAAGACCAUAGGAUGGCAUCAUCCAGUGGUCAAAGGUGGAGCAAUCUACUGUUUGAGGAUGAGCCCGCGCCCCAUUAGCUUGUUGGUGAGGUAACGGCCCACCAAGGCUCCGAUGGGUAGCCGGCCUGAGAGGGUGAUCGGCCACACUGGGACUGAGAUACGGCCCAGACUCCUACGGGAGGCAGCAGUAGGGAAUAUUGCGCAAUGGACGAAAGUCUGACGCAGCAACGCCGCGUGGGUGAUGAAGCAUCUUGGUGUGUAAAACCCUGUCAGUGGGGAAGAACAACAUCGGUAGUAACUGACCGAUGCCUGACGGUACCCACAGAGGAAGCACCGGCUAACUCCGUGCCAGCAGCCGCGGUAAUACGGGGGGUGCAAGCGUUGUUCGGAUUUACUGGGCGUAAAGGGCGCGUAGGCGGGCCUUCAAGUCGGGUGUGAAAACUGGCAGCUUAACUGCCAGCCUGCAUUCGAUACUGGGGGUCUUGAGUACGGAAGAGGAAAGCGGAAUUCCAGGUGUAGCGGUGAAAUGCGUAGAUAUCUGGAAGAACACCAGUAGCGAAGGCGGCUUUCUGGUCCGAUACUGACGCUGAAGCGCGAAGGCUAGGGUAGCAAA
rnacentral:rRNA from 1 species